AAGUCGUAACAAGGUUUCCGUAGGUGAACCUGCGGAAGGAUCAUUAACACGUUGUAUCAACGUAUCAACCAACCUCGACGAACUUGUUUCAUGUACUGCACAUGGUGUUUUACUUGUUUGGUUUCAUCUGAAACCAUGAAGGCCUUUGAGGCGAAAUAGUACGGGAUUAAUCUUACCUUUCGGGGUUCGUGUUCCUGUUUAGAGUAGUCUCUCUGUGCUUAGAGUCACUUGUGCACCUCCCUCCAUCUGCGGGUGGAGUGGAGUAUUUUCCAACCCGUUUUUACUAUGCAAAGCUUCUUUUCGGAGAGGUUUGAUCUUUACGGUCUUCAUUGCAUAGCAAAGACACUUUCUUAUUUAUUCAUUUCUAUUAAAAGGCGAAAGUCUUUUAAUAACAAACUCUGAACAACUCUGAGCAACGGAUGUCUUGGUUCCC
rnacentral:misc_RNA from 1 species